rnacentral:lncRNA from 1 species
CAUUGUUCCCGUAUAAUCAUGAGUUUCCAUGAAAUUGAAAGGUUGUUAUGCUCUUAUUAUAUAACCAAUCAUUUCUUCACGACAAUAAGAUUCAUCAUAAGAAAAUGUUUUUAAAUUUCCACUUUCAUCUUUACCUAAUUGCAUAUAAUUUCUAAUAUCUACAUUAUUUUUAGUUUUACAAUUUUCAUGAUGCCUUUUUAAAUGACUUGUACCUGCAUUUGAG